UAUGAUGUUCCAUCACAAAAGGUUCUUAUGAUGCAACCUUCACAGAGAAAGUACCUGAGAGCCUUUUGUGCUUCUGUGGAUUUACUUGCAAUGGAUCUCUUAUGCAAAAUACCUUUCCCUUCUCUGCCAGCUCCUCCAGGCAAUCAGGAAGAUACAGGCUUUUACUCAACAUGCUAACCAUGGCACGACCUGAUUUCUGAUGGCUAUCAACAUAACUUCGUUCCCUUUUGCUUUUCUACUUGGUCCUCUUCACCAGCUGACCUCAUCAAUUUAUCCAACAACACAUGCUGAGGACCUACUAAGCACGGGGUCUGUGGACAUAAAAUGGAAUUGGACAUGAAAUACACCCUGCAGAGCAGAUGGACACAUAAGCAACAUGGCAAUGAGAAGUGACAAGCACACUACUACAACCCAGCUGGCACAGAUGGUGGAGAUUUGAUAGGCUUGGUGAGCAUGGGAUGAGAAAGGGUGUCAAGAGGUGACCUUGGGAUGGCUUUCGAAAAAUAAAUAGGAACAUGUCAGGCAGACAAGGGGGUAUUGCUGGCACUUGGAAGUGAAUGUGUCAUUCCAGGUGUGAAGAGGAAGGGCAGUGAUCAUUUUCUUCUGCCUCUAUAAUUGCAGCCUAUGAUCAUAUUAGUCUUUUUGGCAGCCACAACACCCAGCUGGCUCACUGAGAGCUAAAACCUACUAUCCUUCUUGUGUUGUUUUGCCACAUCAGCCCCCAUCAUCCAUGUCCAUGAGCCAUUAUUCUUUAUCAGGGAAAAU
rnacentral:lncRNA from 1 species